GAGUGCAAACGGCACAUUUCACUUCCUCGACUUCACUUUAGACUUCCUCGGCUUCUCUAGUUCUCUUCUUGAUUUUUUUUUAUUUUUCCUUCGUAACCCUUCCACAUCCAAAUAUCCAUGACAAGAUCAUCAUGCUAUUAUCUUUAGACGAUCUAUAGGCAAGUUGGAAUUUGGAAACUUCAACUUUCACAAGAUAUCCGAAACUCCAGAGCUUUUCCAUCUUGGUUAAGUUGAUGAAAUUGUGAAGAUGGUGUUGUUGUCUAUCAUGCCACCGAUGGAAGUUUGUUAUUGAAAUUGUUUGUUUUAAAUAUGAGUUGGACUCUUUUAUUGACUUUUUUAGGAUUGCAAAAGAAUGUCAACAUUUAUUUUAUUUAUUUUUGUAUUUUUAUUUGUGAUAAUUGGUGAGCAUUUGGAUUAUAUCUAUUUAUGUUUGUAAUGAAUAUAUAAAAACUUGUGGUGAAUUAUGAUAUUUUAGUUGUU